GGGCCCGCACAAGCAGCGGAGCGUGUGGUUUAAUUCGAUGUUACACGAAGAACCUUACCAGGGUUUGACAUGCAAGUGGUAGGAAGCCGAAAGGUGACCGACCCUUCGGGGAGCUUGCACAGGUGCUGCAUGGCUGUCGUCAGCUCGUGUCGUGAGAUGUUCGGUUAAGUCCGCUAACGGGCGCAACCCUCGCUGUGUGUUAUAUGUGUCACACGGGACUGCCGGUCUUAAGCCGGAGGAAGGUGGGGAUGAUGUCAAGUCAGCAUGGCCUUUAUAUCCUGGGCUACAAACGUACUACAAUGGCCAAUACAAAGAGAUGCGAAGCGGUGACGUGGAGCGAACCUCAGAAAGUUGGUCUCAGUUCAGAUUGAAGUCUGCAACUCGACUUCAUGAAGGCGGAAUCGCUAGUAAUCGCGGGUCAGCAGACCGCGGUGAAUACGUUCCCGGGUUUU
rnacentral:rRNA from 1 species